rnacentral:rRNA from 1 species
UUCGCAGGCGGCGUAUUAAGUCAGUGGUGAAAUCCCUCGGCUCAACCGAGGAACUGUCAUUGAUACUGGUAUGCUAGAGUAUAGUUGGCGUAGGCGGAAUGUAUCAUGUAGCGGUGAAAUGCUUAGAUAUGAUACAGAACACCGAUCGCGAAGGCAGCUUACGAAACUAUAACUGACGCUCAGGAACGAAAGCGUGGGGAGCGAACAGGAUUAGAUACCCUGGUAGUCC